AAAAAACACUCUUGAAAUCCGGUUUUUAAGAGUUACCAUUCAAAACCUUUGUUAACACCGUACCGCCUCAAAGAUUAUCAUCAAGAAGAAUCCAGAAUCAGCAAAACAAUAAGAAGAAUAAAAAUGGGGUUACUCGUCGUCGUCUUCCUCGUGAGAUUCUCUGGUUCGUUGAAUCUUUCUUGUUUUCUUGCUAAAAUCGCUUUAUUUGUUCUUCAACCAUGUUCUUCAUAUUCGCAUGGUGGCCUUUGGAUUUUAAUUUCGCAUUUUGUUCUUCUUUUGCACUACACCAUAACAAAACAUAUAAAUCCAAAGAGUAAUGACGUACUGCUCGUCAAACUUGUUGCCAACGUACUUUCAUUCAGUAGCAUUGAGUCCAAGCGAACCAGCCACCUGAAGAUUCUCGUGGCUGACAGCCAUCAUGUCCAAGAGUUCAAUGAAUUUAACUCCGGUAGUGAGAUUGCCUCUCAAGUUCAAAGCGAGUUUUUCCAAGAUUCCAAUUUCAAUUGGAAUCGAGCAGCUGGAUCGGAACAUGUCAAAGGGACAUGGACUGAUUAGGAAUGAUGAGUUGAUUUCUUCAAGGAAUUGCAAAAUCGGUGCGAUACUGAUCACUUCUUCUCUGUUCAAUUGCGUCGCCGGCGAAGGAAAAGUGAACGUCGUGGAUAUAGAUACUAUUAUCAUAUAUGUAAAUUAGAAGUGAAAUACUAUUAUCAU
rnacentral:lncRNA from 1 species